rnacentral:lncRNA from 1 species
ACUUACAAGACCAAGUGCUUGCGGCAUUUGCGAGUUUUCGCUCACUCAUGUUCGAGGGAAAAUUGCUUGCGUGCAUGGGGAGGAUGGAUGCGUUUGACCUUAAGAAGCACCCAAAAUCCUAAAAUUGUAGAUCGCCUGUCGUCACACGCCAUGCCACGUGUGAAAAUGUCUGUUGUUUAGCUUAGUGAGAGGCAAGUAGGUCGGACUCGGGGGUCAGUUUCAGAGCAAUUGAGGGAAGGGCGUGGGGCCAUGAGACCAUGUGCCUAAUUAGCACCAUUGUCAAAAAUGGACGUUUUCCAAUUCCAGGUAAAACACGAGGCGUUCCCAGUGUGACUUCGAUCACGCAGCCACGGCAGCCAGGUAUAACAACGGGCUUGUGAGGUGCCUCGGACUACAAGUUGCACGGUUUCAACAUCUGCGAAGUAGUUAGUGGUUUGCGCCUGCCAUUCUAGUCUUCACAGAUGUUCAUUGUGGCUUUCCAGGUUACUUGGAUAGGGACUCGGUGAUAUGCCCGCAUGCGGGUUUGGGCAGGGAACAUCACAAGAACUUACAAGACCAAGUGCUUGCGGCAUUUGCGAGUUUUCGCUCACUCAUGUUCGAGGGAAAAUUGCUUGCGUGCAUGGGGAGGAUGGAUGCGUUUGACCUUAAGAAGCACCCAAAAUCCUAAAAUUGUAGAUCGCCUGUCGUCACACGCCAUGCCACGCGUGAAAAUGUCUGUUAUUUAGCUUAGUGAGAGGCAAGUAGGUCGGACUCGGGGGUCAGUUUCAGAGCAAUUGAGGGAAGGGGGUGGGGCCAUGAGACCAUGUGCCUAAUUAGCACCAUUGUCAAAAAUGGACGUUUUCCAAUUCCAGGUAAAACACGAGGCGUUCCCAGUGUGACUUCGAUCACGCAGCCACGGCAGCCAGGUAUAACAACGGGCUUGUGAGGUGCCUCGGACUACAAGUUGCACGGUUUCAACAUCUGCGAAGUAGUUAGUGGUUUGCGCCUGCCAUUCUAGUCUUCACAGAUGUUCAUUGUGGCUUUCCAGGUUACUUGGAUAGGGACUCGGUGAUAUGCCCGCAUGCGGGUUUGGGCAGGGAACAUCACAAGAACUUACAAGACCAAGCGCUUGCGGCAUUUGCGAGUUUUCGCUCACUCAUGUUCGAGGGAAAAUUGCUUGCGUGCAUGGGGAGGAUGGAUGCGUUUGACCUUAAGAAGCACCCAAAAUCCUAAAAUUGUAGAUCGCCUGUCGUCACACGCCAUGCCACGUGUGAAAAUGUCUGUUGUUUAGCUUAGUGAGAGGCAAGUAGGUCGGACUCGGGGGUCAGUUUCAGAGCAAUUGAGGGAAGGGCGUUGGGCCAUGAGACCAUGUGCCUAAUUAGCACCAUUGUCAAAAAUGGACGUUUUCCAAUUCCAGGUAAAACACGAGGCGUUCCCAGUGUGACUUCGAUCACGCAGCCACGGCAGCCAGGUAUAACAACGGGCUUGUGAGGUGCCUCGGACUACAAGUUGCACGGUUUCAACAUCUGCGAAGUAGUUAGUGGUUUGCGCCUGCCAUUCUAGUCUUCACAGAUGUUCAUUGUGGCUUUCCAGGUUACUUGGAUAGGGACUCGGUGAUAUGCCCGCAUGCGGGUUUGGGCAGGGAACAUCACAAGAACUUACAAGACCAAGCGCUUGCGGCAUUUGCGAGUUUUCGCUCACUCAUGUUCGAGGGAAAAUUGCUUGCGUGCAUGGGGAGGAUGGAUGCGUUUGACCUUAAGAAGCACCCAAAAUCCUAAAAUUGUAGAUCGCCUGUCGUCACACGCCAUGCCACGUGUGAAAAUGUCUGUUGUUUAGCUUAGUGAGAGGCAAGUAGGUCGGACUCGGGGGUCAGUUUCAGAGCAAUUGAGGGAAGGGGGUGGGGCCAUGAGACCAUGUGCCUAAUUAGCACCAUUGUCAAAAAUGGACGUUUUCCAAUUCCAGGUAAAACACGAGGCGUUCCCAGUGUGACUUCGAUCACGCAGCCACGGCAGCCAGGUAUAACAACGGGCUUGUGAGGUGCCUCGGACUACAAGUUGCACGGUUUCAACAUCUGCGAAGUAGUUAGUGGUUUGCGCCUGCCAUUCUAGUCUUCACAGAUGUUCAUUGUGGCUUUCCAGGUUACUUGGAUAGGGACUCGGUGAUAUGCCCGCAUGCGGGUUUGGGCAGGGAACAUCACAAGAACUUACAAGACCAAGCGCUUGCGGCAUUUGCGAGUUUUCGCUCACUCAUGUUCGAGGGAAAAUUGCUUGCGUGCAUGGGGAGGAUGGAUGCGUUUGACCUUAAGAAGCACCCAAAAUCCUAAAAUUGUAGAUCGCCUGUCGUCACACGCCAUGCCACGUGUGAAAAUGUCUGUUGUUUAGCUUAGUGAGAGGCAAGUAGGUCGGACUCGGGGGUCAGUUUCAGAGCAAUUGAGGGAAGGGCGUUGGGCCAUGAGACCAUGUGCCUAAUUAGCACCAUUGUCAAAAAUGGACGUUUUCCAAUUCCAGGUAAAACACGAGGCGUUCCCAGUGUGACUUCGAUCACGCAGCCACGGCAGCCAGGUAUAACAACGGGCUUGUGAGGUGCCUCGGACUACAAGUUGCACGGUUUCAACAUCUGCGAAGUAGUUAGUGGUUUGCGCCUGCCAUUCUAGUCUUCACAGAUGUCCAUUGUGGCUUUCCAGGUUACUUGGAUAGGGACUCGGUGAUAUGCCCGCAUGCGGGUUUGGGCAGGGAACAUCACAAGAACUUACAAGACCAAGUGCUUGCGGCAUUUGCGAGUUUUCGCUCACUCAUGUUCGAGGGAAAAUUGCUUGCGUGCAUGGGGAGGAUGGAUGCGUUUGACCUUAAGAAGCACCCAAAAUCCUAAAAUUGUAGAUCGCCUGUCGUCACACGCCAUGCCACGCGUGAAAAUGUCUGUUAUUUAGCUUAGUGAGAGGCAAGUAGGUCGGACUCGGGGGUCAGUUUCAGAGGAAUUGAGGGAAGGGGGUGGGGCCAUGAGACCAUGUGCCUAAUUAGCACCAUUGUCAAAAAUGGACGUUUUCCAAUUCCAGGUAAAACACGAGGCGUUCCCAGUGUGACUUCGAUC